GGAGUAUAGUCUCCAUCUGAAGUAAGUCGGAUGGAGAUCUGAAGAAUACGAAUCUCAUAAGAGGCUGAAUAUAUUUGGAUGAGUUUGUGAAACAAAACAAAGCUCGUAUCAACCGAAAGCUAUUAUAAUAUAUGUGGAUAUAUAUGGAAUGAAAGAUUGCGUU
rfam:Clostridium halophilum strain M1 genome assembly, contig: G325DRAFT_scaffold00007.7